AGCGAACGCUGGCGGCAGGCCUAACACAUGCAAGUCGAACGAACCUUUCGGGGUUAGUGGCGGACGGGUGAGUAACACGUGGGAACGUGCCUUUAGGUUCGGAAUAACUCAGGGAAACUUGUGCUAAUACCGAAUGUGCCCUUCGGGGGAAAGAUUUAUCGCCUUUAGAGGGGCCCGCGUCUGAUUAGCUAGUUGGUUGAGGUAAUGGCUCACCAAGGCGACGAUCAGUAGCUGGUCAGAGAGGAUGAUCAGCCACAUUGGGACUGAGACACGGCCCAAACUCCUACGGGAGGCAGCAGUGGGGAAUCUUGCGAAAUGGGCGAAAGCCUGACGCAGCCAUGCCGCGUGAAUGAUGAAGGUCUUAGGAUUGUAAAAUUCUUUCACCGGGGACGAUAAUGACGGUACCCGGAGAAGAAGCCCCGGCUAACUUCGUG
rnacentral:rRNA from 1 species